rnacentral:lncRNA from 1 species
GGCGACGAGGGCGGUAUAGCUGCCCUGGAGGGGCCGGCCCUCGGGUGUGACAGUCCCUGCCUGGGAAAGCGAAGGAUGGCGGAGUCGAGACCCGUUCCCGGAGCUUCAAGGGGGCAGGGAGGGUGUUGAAGUAAAGGAAGAAAUAGAAAUAAAAAAUAAAUACAUGGUAAAGAUAAUAGGAAGGGAGAGAGCGAGGAACUAAGGCCUCUAUUUGGAGCAUGUAGUUUUGGUUUUUGUCUCAAGUAUAUGGCGUUAGUGAAACUUGACCCGUCAGCAGAUGUCCAGGUAGACGCGAGCCUCCAGGGAGGUGAACGUCACUUGGCCGAGCCAGCAAUUUUUGUAGCCAACCGUUGGCGGUGGAACCUUCUCUUAAGCCUGCAAGGCCGCGCCUGCGGCGCUUCCUUAACUACAAGGCGAGGUUUAACCUUCCACCUCCGGGAGCGCGCUGUCACUGGUCCCUGACAGUCUUCGUUUGUUUACGGUUAAAGCUGCUGACUCUUGAAGCUCCGGUGGUCAUAAAUGAAACCGGCGGCGAGACACUUUUCCAGGCCUUCUCUGUUGCUUUUGUAGCCCUCAUCUUGUAACAACAUUUUGAAGCCCUUUGCCCUCGCUUUCUAGAAGACCCGAAGAAGGCAAACUUUGCGCGACGGUUGUGACACUAGCCACACUAUCAAAGAGCUGCAACUAAGUAAUCCCCGCACAGCAAGGUUUGCAGAAAGGCCGAGGAGCUCAGGGCGUGCAGAAGGGUGGGUGCCAAAUUGUGCAACUGACCAAAAUUUAAAUUUACGGUUCAAAUAUGUCUUACAGUCCAAAGAUGGUUUGGGUUGAGACUUAGAAUCACAUAAUGAAAUAUGAAAGAAUAAGCUUAAUAUUCAAACGUUUGUGUUUAGAAAGGCUGCAGGAUAGAGGAAAAUAAGAGUGUUAGCUCCAGAAUCCAGGAAAUGCCAGCACAAGGCCUGUAUGUGUUGAGAUAAACUAGACCCAGUCAUUGUGCUACCAUGCAGCUGACAGCUCUCUCUUAACUUCUGUGUUCUCUUUUGGGAAAUGUUACUUAGCAGCUUAGAAAUGCCUAUUAUAUGAUAGAAGCCCUCCUCUCUCUGCACAAAUGACAUUACUGACAGGAGCCUCUAGGACAUCAGACAUAUGAGCUAUUUCAAAGCUCGAUAUGGAACAAGGUGAUGGCCUUGGAAACAGAGGUUUCUGUUUAUCCAAGGGAUCUGUGCAUUAUAUUCUAUGGUUCCCCAUAUUGCACAGUCCUGUGCUAUACAUCCAAUGGAUGUUCAACAAUUAUUGGUUAAAGUCUUUGUUUCCUCUAGGCACAAACUGUCUGUGAAUAAUACAUGAUAAAACAAGUGAUUGUUUAUGCUAAUGAAAAGAUAUAAGCUUCAAGCCAUG